GACGGAGGGUGCUAGCGUUGUUCGGAUUUACUGGGCGUAAAGGGCGCGUAGGCGGCCUGGUCAGUCGGGUGUGAAAGCCCGGGGCUCAACCCCGGAACGGCACCCGAGACGGUCAGGCUGGAGACCGGGAGAGGAGGGUGGAAUAGCCAGUGUAGAGGUGAAAUUCGUAGAUAUUGGCUGGAACACCGGUGGCGAAAGCGGCGGACUGGAUCUCUUCUGACGCUGAGGAGCGAAAGCUAGGGUAGCAAACGGG
rnacentral:rRNA from 1 species